GGGCUAUUAGCUCAGGUGGUUAGAGCGCACCCCUGAUAAGGGUGAGGUCUCAGGUUCAAGUCCUGAAUAGCCCA
rfam:Micromonas sp. RCC299 chloroplast, complete genome.